AUUGAACGCUGGCGGCAGGCCUAACACAUGCAAGUCGAACGAGUGGCGGACGGGUGAGUAAUGGAUGGGAAACUGCAAGAUGGAGGGGGAUAACUACUGGAAACGGUAGAUAAUACCGCAUACCAUAAGAUGUGCCCAGAUGGGAUUUGCUUGUUGGUGGGGUAACGGCUCACCAAGGCGACGAUCCCUAGCUGGUCCGAGAGGAUGAUCCGCCACACUGGAACUGAGACACGGCCCAGACUCCUACGGGAGGCAGCAGUUGGUAAUAUUGCACAAUUGGCGCAAGCCUGAUGCAGCCAUGCCGCGUGUAUGAAGAAGGCCUUCGGGUUGUAAAGUACUUUCAGCGUGGAGGCGUUACCCGCAGAGGAAGCACCGGCUAACUCCGUGCCAGCCGCCGCGGUAAUAC
rnacentral:rRNA from 1 species